rnacentral:lncRNA from 1 species
CCCACAUGUGCACAUAAAGUUAAUCAUGUAGUCAGAAUGAUCUAAAAUAAGAAAAUUAAUCUUUCACUAAUCGUACAUCUAUAGGGUAUAUGCAGAAUUACACCUGCACAUAACUAUGUGAAUAUAUGCAUAUAAGGAUCUUCUCUCAGAUCAGCAUAGAGUAAGUAACUGGAGGAGAUUAGCUCCUUUGGAUGCAAAUAAACCUUUCAGUAAUCCAGAGGUGAGGUUUUUCCAGCAGAUAGCCUGCAGGUAUGAACCACCAAUUUAAAGCUGCAGGCCAGAAUUAAAUAUUACGCCCCCCCCCCAAAAAAAGCAGAGAGGUUUGGCAAACAGCUACUGUUGAAGCCUGGCCAUUAAUUUUUUUCCUUUCAAAUUAACUUCUAAAUGUUAAGACCUGAGAUUAAUAUGGAGACCAAACAUGAGUGAUAUCGACAGGUGACAAAUCAGACUGUCAUCGUGAACUCGAAAACAAAGGCUCAAAAUUAAAUAAAAAUAGAAAAUGAAUAGAAAAACUUGACCUUAGUUGUGCUGUUUAUUUGCAUCUUUCUGGAGUGUGCAUAGAUAUCCCGCUUUGAGAGUGACAGUUGGUCCUGAUGCAUGGUCUGAAAUGGCUGUCAGCUCAUUUCUGCGUGCUCUUCUGUCGCAGUCCAAAAUGGCCCUCAAGCCAUCAGGAAAUGUCUCAGUGCUCCCAAAAGGCUUCCCACAUGUGACUGAGAUUACUAUUUUUUGUCUUGUAGAAACCUUUUCUCUCCCCGAUGGCACAGCACAGCCAUCAAACGCCCUCACUGUGAGGGUCAAGUUCAGGCCUGUGCCAUCGUCCUGGGGAACACAUGCACACGUACACUCAUCUCUUGAUGACAAUGUGGCUACUGUAUCCCAAAGCAGGACAAUGUGUCCCAACAAACCUCUUAGGAACGGAUCAAGGAACACAAAAAAGCCAAUUUUACAUGAUGUGGCAGGAAAAAGCCUGCUGAGGCUUUACCCUGGAACUCAAAGAAUCAGAACAAUCUACUGUGUGAUCACAGGAUGCAACAGGACCCCACUGUAUACCUCUAGAGGACAAGUGUCCAUAACGUAGUGGGUCAGGGCUGCACAAGAUUGCCAAAAGUAAUUGCUUGUCUGCCUUCCCACACAUAUGAACUUGAGUGACACCCCAUUCUUAAUCCAUAGGAUUUAAUAUGAUGUCGGCCAACUCUUUACAGCUAUAACAGGUUUGACUCCUCUGGGAAGGGUAAGGAUGUGUUUAUAGGAAUUUUUGACUGUUUUUCCAGAAGUGCAUUUGUGUCAGAGACACUCUAAUUCCCAGAGGUGUUCAAACAGGUUGAGGUCAGGACUCUACGCAGGCCAGCCAAGGUCUUCCACACCAAACUGGCUUGAAGGCAACUGCUUGGCCCUGGAAGCCCAUUCCAUGAACCUCUCCACUGACUGCACUUGAGCUAAUCUGAAGGCCACAUGAAGUCUGGAGGUCUGUAGAAACUGACUCUGCAGAAAGUUGCACCUCUGUGCACCAUGAAUCUCAGCACUUGCUGACCCCGCUCAGUGAUUUUAUGUGGUCUACUAGUGGCUUAGUUGGUGUUGAUCCCAUUUGAUUCCACUUUGUUAUUAUACUACUAACAGCUGACUGUGGAAUACUGAGGAGAAUGGUCAUUUCAUGGCAGGAGUUGGUGCACUUGUGGGAUUUUAUCACAGUACCUAGCUGGAAUUCACUCUGCUUCUAUAAAUAUUUGUGAAUGAAUGGGUUGUCCCAGGAGCUGACUGGAUACCCAGGUGCGUGACUUCAUAGAUCUGUG